AUUGUUAGAAUUCAAACACCAAAACCAUACCUACGCAUCCCGAUCGUCUUUUGUUCUCCCAUCUCCCCUUGACGACACAAACGUCAUCUGUUCGUCUCUAGCGUCGUCAUCGACCCUGCAUCUUUACUGUGUGUCUCACAUCAAGAAACGUUUCCUAUAUUUCUCUUUCUCUCUCUCCCCGUCUUCUGUUGGAAGACAUUCGUCUCGUUAUACUCUCCCUCAUACUUUCUCAUCUUGGUUAUUAUUCCAGACGUCAUAUUGUAUUCGAGCCAUAAGGGCAUCUGGCCCUCGCUGUAUCGAGACGGCACAAAGAGACCCUCUGAACAACAAGAGACGGUAUAUUCAAUACAAUCAGUAUAUUGCCCUAUUGAAGGCUAA